rnacentral:rRNA from 1 species
GAUGAACGCUGGCGGCGUGCUUGAUCAAUGCGAGUCGCGCGCGUGCUCCCGUGCUUGCAUGGGAAGGUAUGAGCGGCGUGCGGGUGCGUAACACGUAGACAACCUGCCCUGGUGUGGGGAAUAACCUGGGGAAACCUGGGCUAAUACCGCAUAACACUGCCGGACGCAUGUGUGGCAGUCAAAGUCUUAGGGCGCACGAGGAGGGGUCUGCGGUCUAUCAGUUGGUUGGUGGGGUAACGGCCUACCAAGGCGAUGACGGAUAGCCGGUCUGAGAGGAUGGUCGGCCACACUGGGACUUAGACAUGGUCCAGAGCCCUACGGGGUUUAGCAUGAAGGGAUCUUGCGCAAUGGGCGGAAGCCUGACGCAGCGACGCCGCGUGGAGGAAGACGCCGUUCGCGGUGUAAACUCCUUUUCUUGGGGAAGAAGCAAGA